CUGAAGCCCAGAGGGACAAUGCUGCUCCCUCCGGGGGGUGAGCCCCAGCACUGGUUUCCCCGCCCUCUGGGACAGCAUGUCUCUGCUGGAGAAUUAAACAAACAAGCAGACACUAGAGAUAGGCCCAGCUUGCAACAGUGAGCAGCACUGUUGUUUGCCCAGGAGGGAGAGAGAGAGAGAGGGCAGAGGACACCAGCCUGUGACCAGGGCAGGGCCACUCAGCUGGGGCGGGGCACAAAGCUUCGUUCCUUUCCUAUCCCCCAACAGGUGCCCUGAGGUCUCCAUCUGUGUGUCACAGACGUGUGAAAACCAGGAAACAGCAGAGGGGAGCGGCGGUCAAGUCUGCUGCAUGCCAUGUCACCUUGGCCAAGUCACUCCCCUUUCUGGACCUCAGGAUCCUCCUAGGUAUCUGUGGGUCUCCUAAGGGAAUGGAGGCUGCAGAACCACCCAAGAAGGAGGGCCCUUCCUCUACUGCAGUGAGGAUGAGGCAAAUGAGAGGAUGAGCGCAAGAGGGUAGGGCCGAGCCCCCCAGAUACCUCAGCCAUGUAAUGGACAAUUUGAGGUGAGCCUGGGAUGCGUUGAUGGGGACCAGGUAAGGAGAUGCAGUGCUCUGCAAAUGAUUUAUGCAUGCGUGUGUAUUACAAGGAAGCUGGGUCAGCCCUGCCCAGUUUCCUCUGGAGGCCCAGGUCUCCAGCACCCUGUCUUCCGCGCCGGAAAGGCUCCCAUCCUCCCCUGUUCUCCCCACGUCGUCACCUCUCAUCUCCAUUUCCGUCUGUCCUACCCAACCAGGAGUUGAAGAUUUCUCCCACCACCUUCCUGCAUUCUGUCCUCACAAAGCCACCUUGGGAUACGCUCUUCACCCCUCUGCAACCCCCCCAACCUAAAGCUCCUCAGGGCACCCCUGGCUAUCUGAGGAGCUGUCUCUUUGCUUCCCCGGGGCUGGCAGGGGUAACUUCCAGCCCCUUUGAAGCUUCCCAAGGGGGAGGUAAGAUGAGGAGAGGGGCUAUCCUGCAAGGCUGGCUGGGCGUAGGCUAGGGAGCUUCCUCUCUGGUCUAUAGAAGGACAGACCCUCCACACCCAGAGGUGGGUGGCCUUGAACCCUUUUCUCCUGAGCUGACACCGCAAACUUGCUGGGCACCUUCCAGCAAUGGGCUUCAAAUGAAGCUGCUGUGUGACUGUGGACACCAUCCAGACAUUCUUGGAAGCGCAGGGCCCCCUCCUCAAUCAGGACCCCUCCUAGGUCCCUCCCCCAGUGCCACCCCAAGCCUCUAGAGGGCGUGGGAGAGCAGUGCUUGACUUCCCAGCCCCCAGGGCAUAGCACAGUGGCUCUCUGAACAGACCUCUGGGAUCAACCAGCUGCCCCCACCCACUGUCCCUGGGGGAAGCCACGCCUUGCUGGAGACUGCAGCCAGGUGCAGGAGAGUAUGGGCCUGGACCCAGGAGGACAGCUGCGUGGAGGAUGCAGGGACCAGCUGGGCUGUGGGGCACUCUGAACAAGAGUGGGUUCCGUGGAAACAGUGGAAAGAAUGAUUUGAGACCAAUCUGAGAUUAGCCCACUGUUCAUUGGGGAACAGAAAGGAGAGUGGUGGCCUGAGCGAGCCCUGGGAGUUCCUGCCUGACCUUGGAAUAAGGAGGGUCUUCUUGGCCCAUGUGGCAAAGCUGCAAAGCCCUCCACACCCGCUCUGUAGGGUCAGAACUAGGGUCAGGCAAGUGAGGCAAGUAGGACACCAAGUGCCCGAUUGGCCCCAACCCUGAGCGCCUUCAUAACUCCUGCACCCCAUCACCUCACUUCCCCCAUCUCAGUCCCAGCCCUGCCCUCUGAGCUGUCCUGGGGACAAAAGCCCCAGGAAUAGUUGAGGCAGAGGUGGCUGAGGUGAGCAGAGGGGUUACUUUUCCACACUGGAUGCCCCAAAGGAAAGAACUAGCACCUAACUCAGCAGUAGGGGAGGGGAAACAAAGAAAGAGGAGAGAGACGACUGUCUGUCACCUGAGCCCGGACCCCAGUGUGUGCCUGUCUGUGUCACUGUCUGUGUGUAUUUGUGCAUCCAAAUUGUGGUUCUGCCAAUUUCUAGUUAUGUGUCCUUGGGCAAGUUACCCAACCUCUCUAAGCCUUAGUUUUCUUGAAAACUUAUGAUAAUAAUAACUACACAUAUAAGAAUACCCCUUAGGGUUGGAGUAAAGAUUAAAGGAGGUAAUACAUGGAAAGGGUGUAGCAUGAGCACGUUGUCUGCCCACAGGAAGAACUAAAUAAAGGUUGAUUGCUAUUCCCACUGUUAUCGAUAAUAUUGUCUCGUGUGGCCCUAGCUUACUUUGCAACCUUAUUCCCACUGCCUCCCUACCCAUGCAUCCCAUUCCAGCCAGACAGGACUUCUGACAACCCCCAAUGCGCUUAUGUCUUCAUCCUCACCUAGGCAUCACCAGCCAUGAAAUUUCACCUCUUCUUCUUUUUUUAAAAUUUAUUUAUUUAUUCUUGAGAGACACAGAGAGGCAAAGACAUAGGCAGAGGGAGAAGCAGGCUCCCCUCAAGGAGCCCAAUGUGAGACUCGAUCCCAGACCCUGGGAUCACACCCUGAGUCAAAGGCAGACCCUCAACUGCUGAGCCACCCAGGUGUCCCAAAUUUCACCUCUUCAAAUAAGACUGCCUGGACCACUUCUGUUCAGUGAUCUCCCCAAAACUCCUAUAGUACUAGCUGUGUAUCCCUCGCAAGCCAGCUUCAAAUUGUUGAUUAAUCAAUACGUUUAACUUUGCAAGGGAGUGUGUGUGUGUGUGUGUGUGUGUGUGUGUGUGUGUGUGUUGUCUUUUCAAGUACACUUAUAUAGGAAGAACUAUAUAUUUCCAUGAUCUGUACACCUCACAUCCUAGCCUAAGGACUUGUACGGGCCUGUAGGUCUAGACAUCCAUAUGUAGACCCUGAAUGAUGGUGGAUGAUACUCAUGGUAAAUGCUGCCUUUGGUUGCAUUCCUACUGUGCGCCCUACAUUUCCUCAUUAACCCCAUGUUCACCCCAUGGAAUAGAUUAUACAUGUAAAAUUACUGCUUAGAGAAUUUAAGUAACUUGCCCACGAUCAUCUAGCAAAUAAACAAGAAAGCUGAGAUUUAAACUCAAGUCUAUUUUCCAGAGCUCGCACUCUUAAUCAUUAUGGUUUCAAUAGAAGACUGAACCAAAACCAGAAUUUCCUUUCUGUGAUCAAAGAUGGAAAUAACAAGAAUGCAAGGUGAUACGAGAACUUCAAUCAAAUGCUUUCAGGAUUUCAAAUCAGAGUCCAAUGGGGUCAGGUCCCAUCACACACUAUUCAGAGUAAAGCCAGAGAGCCUCAGUCAUCACAGAAAGAGGCACAAAUAAGGUUAAAAUAAAACUCAUCCCAGAGUGAGUCAGAAAAAUUGCUUACCUUGAUUGAUUCUUCAAUCACCAGAAUGUUUCAGUUGACCUUAGCUCUCUUUCAACUAUCAUAGGAGAAACUUUUUUUUCUCUUUGUUGAUCAUCAAUUCAGCAUCCUUGUGAUAAUUAAACGGGCAAUAUUUAAUUAUCAAUAUUUGCUGGUCGGUCAGCAAAGAUCUCAUGGAGUAACCACCAGAAGACCACUCACUGGCUGAUUUUCGCAUAUGCUUCAUCAAUCUCCAGCUUUUAUAAUAAAAUCUGGCCACAGAGAAUAUAUUCCCCUCAGGUCACCAUCUUCCUUUGCCAUCUACCACUAGUUAUUCUGGGGCUAAAUUGACUUGAAGUAUCUACACUACAUUCUUCUCCGUGUGACUUAAUUUCCUUACCUGGAAAAUGAGGGUAAUAAGACUACCAACCCCACAAGGCUAUGGCAAAGAUCUAAUGAGGCAACGUGUGUAAAGUUCAGUGGCUGGCAUGAAGUGAGUGCAUAAUACACAGUUGGGGCCGUUGGUGUUGUCAUUUCCAGCCAGAGGGAGGUGCCCAGAUUCCUGACCCCGCUUUGGCUUCAGAGAAGCUGCUUCUCUGAACACCUCUUCUCUCUUGCCUACUAGGAUGCAUGUCCCAGAGAAUUGGCCUUCUGCAUUCUCUUGCUCCUCUCAUCAUACGUCAGCCCCCAGCGCCGUAGAAUUACCAAACCUCAUGGCCAAGAAGGUGGUCAUACCUCAUCUGCUUCAGCCUUAUUUUUUUUCUGAAAGGGAAGGCAGUCUUCUGCAACCUAAGGGCUUGCCCUAAAAUCAUAUACCAUUUGCUUCCUUUUGUGAAUUGACCUUAGAUUUCAUUGUAUACCAAACAAGGAAAUCAGUCUCAUAACUUGGUGCCACACCCUGUUUGGGACCCAAAAAAAAAAAAAAAAAAAA